rnacentral:rRNA from 1 species
CAUCUACAGAAUAUCGAUAAGCAAUAUACAUUUUGACAAAUCAUACAUUGAAUAUGAAAAAGAAUUUAUAUCAUUUGGAAAUAAUUCGAAAUUUGUUGUAUAAGCGUUAGGAAGUAAAUCAGGGUUUACACCCGGAAGAGGAGGCGAAAGCUCUAUAUAAAAAAAAUAAACGGUUAUCAAAGCAGAAGAAAAAAAGAAGAAAAAAAGAAAGAAGAAGAAAAAAAGAAGAAGAAAAAGAAGAAAAAAAAGAAGAAGAAGAAAAAAGAAGAAAAAAAAGAAAAAAAGAAAGAAAAAAGGAAAGAAAGAAUCAAAUCUGAACCAGGGACAUAUAGACUUGGACAAGGGUCGUGAUCUGAUCCACAAUCAACAAACUGUAAGUAAUGUCCAGGGAUAUAUAUCA